CAGCAGCCGCGGGAAUACGUAGGGUGCAAGCGUUAAUCGGAAUUAUUGGGCGUAAAGCGAGUGCAGACGGUUACUUGAGCCAGAUGUGAAAUCCCCAAGCUUAACUUGGGACGUGCAUUUGGAACUGGGUGACUAGAGUGUGUCAGAGGGAGGUAGAAUUCCACAUGUAGCGGUGGAAUGCGUAGAGAUGAGGAGGAAUACCGAUGGCGAAGGCAGCCUCCUGGGAUAACACUGACGUUGAGGCUCGAAAGCGUGGGUAGCGAACAGGAUUAGAUACCCGAGUAGUCCCUGUCUCUUAUAA
rnacentral:rRNA from 1 species